ACGGCGAGUGAAGCGGCAACAGCUCAAAUUUGAAAUCUGGCCUCUUUGGGGUCCGAGUUGUAAUUUGUAGAGGAUGUUUCGGGUACCGCCCCGGUCUAAAUUUCUUGGAACAGAAUGUCAAAGAGGGUGAGAAUCCCGUCUUGGACCGGUGGUAGGGCUCAUGUGAAACUCCUUCGACGAGUCGAGUUGUUUGGGAAUGCAGCUCAAAAUGGGUGGUAAAUUUCAUCUAAAGCUAAAUAUUGGCCAGAGACCGAUAGCGCACAAGUAGAGUGAUCGAAAGAUGAAAAGCACUUUGAAAAGAGAGUUAAACAGUAUGUGAAAUUGUUGAAAGGGAAGCGCUUACAACCAGACUUGAGCGCGGCGGUUCCCCCUUCCUUCUGGUUGGGUUAUUCCGUCGUGUCCAGGCCAACAUCGGUUCUGGGGGCCGGUUAAAGACCUUGGGAAUGUACCUACUCCUUCGGGUGUAGACUUAUAGCUCAGGGUGUCAUGCGGCCUCCCGGGACCGAGGAACGCGCUUCGGCUCGGAUGUUGGCGUAAUGGUUGUCAGCGACCCGUCUUGAAACACGGACCAAGGAGUCUAACAUCUAUGCGAGUGUUUGGGUGUCAAACCCGGAACGCGGAAUGAAAGUGAACGGAGGUAGGAAGCCGUUAGGCUGCACUAUCGACCGAUCCUGAUGUCUUCGGAUGGAUUUGAGUAAGAGCAUAACUGUUGGGACCCGAAAGAUGGUGAACUAUGCCUGAAUAGGGUGAAGCCAGAGGAAACUCUGGUGGAGGCUCGCAGCGGUUCUGACGUGCAAAUCGAUCGUCAAAUUUGGGUAUA
rnacentral:rRNA from 1 species